GACACCGUCCGGUCCACCCACGGAGAUGGAAGUUUGCCAUUUGUGGUUGAGUUUAUUCUAUUCCAGUAGGAUUCUCAUCACAUCCUUUCUUCUAGUUCUUCUCAUAAGAGAAGAUCCUCCUCGACCACCCAUAUUUCUAUAUAUUCAGAGUGCAGCUGUGUGGCCUUGCCUCCUGUAGGACUGUUUCAAUUGAGUUCAAUCAAGGUGACACAAGCUGGGACCCUGCCAGAAAUUUACGGACGUGGGAGACUCUGGGCCAACCCGCUGCAGGUCCAGGCUGGCAGCUGCUUCGGUAAAUUCCUCCAGUGAGGUGGAUCAGAUCCUGGUACGGACGAUGACACCAGGGUGGAAGAGAAGUUACUGUCAGCUGCUCCUUCUUCAUCUCUUUCUUCAGAAGAAUCCCAUCCAGCAGAGGCGGUUUCCAUGUUUCACAAUUACUCCUCCUCCAAGGAAGACCAAAGAAGCUGACGGUAGCGCAAUCCCAUGACUGCUCAUCUUGGAAGUGAUGAGAUUCCCACCAGCAGUGCCUGAGGGACCCAGUUUCUCUGCACCCUCAUCAGCAUUUGGUGAUGUCACUAUUUUAUUCUAGCCAUA